CCUUGUCGAAAUGGAAGGUAGGCAGCAGCUUCCAGCGGUGUUCGGUAGUUUAAGUGUCCGUUUUUAGUUCCAUACAGUUUGUACCGAACACCGCUAUGUGUUCGUAUGUCCCAAAAUGGCCGCUGCCUCGUGGUCGACAUGCGAACGACGACCACCCGUACGAAUGGAAUAGAGAGGUGUCUGCGGUUCACCACAACGUUCUAAUUGGGGCCAAGAGGUUAACCAGCAGCACACUCCUCUCCUGGGUGGUUGUUCGUUCGGUAGUUUCAAUCGGUAGUUUGCAAAUUACACGAACGGGGUUAUAUGAACAGGCAAUUCAGCGAACAAAGGGAAACAGAUCAACCAGCAAUACAGAUGAAUCUGUCACAAAUAUAAUAAUAUAAUAAUGCUGUAUAGUACAGAGUAAUAUAUUAAUAUAGUAAUGCUGUAUAGUACAGAG